CCCUAAACUACACUCUUCCUCUUUUUCCUCUUCACAUUCAGUAACGCAUGCGUUUCUCUUCUCCUUGCCAAUAAAUGUAAAUCAAUUACUGAUAAAUUUUGCCAUUCAAUGGGAUAGCCGUUUCUCUUCUCCUUUCUCUUUAGAUAGAUUAUGAUGAAGACUAUCAGAGACUUUAUUUUCCUCUCUCAAACUACAGAUUCAAUUUGGAUGUUGGAACCUGCCAAGCUCUAAUUCUACUUUCAUGUUUCUUUUACUGGAUUUUUUUGAACUAUUUACCGGAUCUAUUUGUUGACCAGGAAUGUUCAGAUGGAAGUGCUGCCACCUGUGCUUGACUCUACAUCAUAGUCACCAUGUGUUUCGAUAGAACAACAAGGAUGUACAUUUCUUGAUGUGCCCUGAUGCUCGGCGUAUCGAUCGAGAAAAUAUACAAAAGAAAGCACAUUAAACAGUUUGAACCAGCUCAUGGAUAAAGUAGGGAGCUUUCUAUCCUGGAUCAACUCUUUGAUAUGUUGAUUGAAGUUGGCGAUUAUGGAUCCUGUCAUCCUUCAAUGUGUACAGCUGAAGAAUAUUGGAAAGUUGCAGAGGUGCUUGAUCGAUAUACUCAAGAGAUAUGAAAGUGGAAGAUGGUGUGCAGAUGGACUUCAUAUAGGAAAAUGUACAUGAACAUCAUAUAUAUAGGCUAUAUACACUUUGGAAAGUGCAUCAAUGAGCCUUCUGUGGUGAAAAGGGUUUGAGAACUCUUGCUUAAUUUUGGAACAUAUACACCAGUUUUUAUUGUUCAAAAUACAUAUCAAAAUGUAUAACAUUUUCAAACCAA